rfam:Gossypium hirsutum cultivar TM-1 chromosome 26, whole genome shotgun sequence
UGUUAAAAAUUUCAUCUAUUUCUACUAUUAAAAAUUAGUAUGCCUUGUAAAAUAACACAACAAUUACACGUGGCUGUCAUGUGUUAAUAUAAAGAGAUUAGUUCUUAAUUGUAGAAAUUGAUGAAUUUUUUAACA